rnacentral:rRNA from 1 species
UGGGGAAUCUUGGACAAUGGGCGCAAGCCUGAUCCAGCCAUGCCGCGUGGAUGAUGAAGGCCUUAGGGUUGUAAAAUCCUUUCGCCGAGGACGAUAAUGACGGUACUCGGAGAAGAAGCUCCGGCUAACUUCGUGCCAGCAGCCGCGGUAAUACGAAGGGGGCUAGCGUUGUUCGGAUUUACUGGGCGUAAAGCGCGUGUAGGCGGGUCGUUAAGUUGGGGGUGAAAUCCCGAGGCUCAACCUCGGAACUGCCUUCAAAACUGGCGACCUGGACCUAAGUAGAGGCAAGUGGAAUUGCGAGUGUAGAGGUGAAAUUCGUAGAUAUUCGCAAGAACACCGGUGGCGAAGGCGGCUCACUGGAUCGGUACUGACGCUGAGGUGCGAAAGCGUGGGGAGCAAACAGGAUUAGAUACCCCCGUAGUCCCUGAGCGGGCUGGCAAGGCGCAU